rnacentral:rRNA from 1 species
GAUCCUGGCUCAGAAUCAACGCUGGCGGCGUGCCUAACACAUGCAAGUCGAACGAGAAAGUGGAGCAAUCCAUGAGUACAGUGGCGACCGGGUGAGUAACACGUGACUAACCUACCCUCGAGUGGGGAAUAACCUCGGGAAACCGGGGCUAAUACCGCAUAAUGUCUUCGGACCAAAGGAGCAAUUCGCUUGAGGAGGGGGUCGCGGCCGAUUAGCUAGUUGGCGGGGUAACGGCCCACCAAGGCCAUGAUCGGUAGCCGGCCUGAGAGGGCGCACGGCCACACUGGAACUGAAACACGGUCCAGACUCCUACGGGAGGCA